CUCAAGUACGUGUACCUGAUGUAAAUAUGGACAUAGAAUAUGAUGUAGGAUUUUAGGUGGGCAUAGCUUGAGUUAACGAUGCCCAUAAAGAGACUACAUUACAUAU
rfam:Cucumis sativus cultivar 9930 chromosome 4, whole genome shotgun sequence.